GCUAGCGUUGUUCGGAAUUACUGGGCGUAAAGCGCGCGUAGGCGGCUUUGUAAGUUAGAGGUGAAAGCCCGGGGCUCAACCCCGGAACUGCCUUUAAGACUGCAUCGCUUGAAUCCGGGAGAGGUGAGUGGAAUUUCCGGUGUAGCGGUGAAAUGCGUAGAUAUCGGAAGGAACACCUGUGGCGAAAGCGGCUCACUGGACCAUAACUGACGCUGAGGCGCGAAAGCUAGGGGAGCAAACAGG
rnacentral:rRNA from 1 species